AUACGAAGGGUGCAAGCGUUACUCGGAAUUACUGGGCGUAAAGCGUGCGUAGGUGGUUUGUUAAGUCUGAUGUGAAAGCCCUGGGCUCAACCUGGGAAUUGCAUUGGAUACUGGCAGGCUAGAGUGCGGUAGAGGGUAGUGGAAUUCCCGGUGUAGCAGUGAAAUGCGUAGAGAUCGGGAGGAACAUCCGUGGCGAAGGCGACUACCUGGACCAGCACUGACACUGAGGCACGAAAGCGUGGGGAGCAAACAGGAUUAGAUACCCUGGUAGUCCACGCCCUAAACGAUGCGAACUGGAUGUUGGGUUCAACUAGGAACUCAGUAUCGAAGCUAACGCGUUAAGUUCGCCGCCUGGGGAGUACGGUCGCAAGACUGAA
rnacentral:rRNA from 1 species